rnacentral:rRNA from 1 species
UGAGUAAUGCCUAGGAAUCUGCCAGGUAGUGGGGGACAACGUUUCGAAAGGAACGCUAAUACCGCAUACGUCCUACGGGAGAAAGCAGGGGACCUUCGGGCCUUGCGCUAUCAGAUGACCCUAAGAAAAGAUUAGCUAGUUGGUGAGGUAAUGGCUCACCAAGGCGACGAUCCGUAACUGGUCUGAGAGGAUGAUCAGUCACACUGGAACUGAGACACGGUCCAGACUCCUACGGGAGGCAGCAGUGGGGAAUAUUGGACAAUGGGCGAAAGCCUGAUCCAGCCAUGCCGCGUGUGUGAAGAAGGUCUUCGGAUUGUAAAGCACUUUAAGUUGGGAGGAAGGGCAGUAAGCUAAUACCUUGCUGUUUUGACGUUACCGACAGAAUAAGCACCGGCUAACUCUGUGCCAGCAGCCGCGGUAAUACAGAGGGUGCAAGCGUUAAUCGGAAUUACUGGGCGUAAAGCGCGCGUAGGUGGUUUGUUAAGUUGGAUGUGAAAGCCCCGGG